rnacentral:rRNA from 1 species
UUGCGGCGGGGCUCACCUCUUCCCAUCCCGAACAGAGUAGUUAAGCCCGCCUGCGCAGAUGGUACUGCAGUUAUGUGGGAGAGUAUGUCGUCGCCUUUC